AGUUCAGUUGGUUAGAGCGUCAGUUUGUGGUUCUGAAUGUCGCCGGUUCGAGUCCGGUC
rnacentral:tRNA from 1 species